GUUGAAUAAUACCCUAAGCUGACUUGCCAAUGUUGCAAAGAUCUCUACACACUGGUAGGCGCAGCUGUAUCAUAGUCAUAGAUUGGUAGUUGCUCACCAUAGCCCUGUGUGGUGUCACUGGCAUGUGAUUUUUUAAUUAAUUUAUUUUUUUAAGUGGAAGGAAAUGAUGAAAAAGCAGGAUAGGAACACUGGUCAAGAGAUUUCUUUCUUUCUUUACAUUUUUGUCAUGGUAUCGGUUCAGUAGUAGUGUCGAGAUAUUUUAGUCAGGUAUCAUAUUGAAGUCAAAAUUUUGUUAUUGCGACAACACUUAUGUGAACUGUGAUAAUAUGCAUCUCUAAACAUAAUGCUGAAAUUAAAAUACAUUUCAAGGUUUCCAAAAAAAAAAACAAUACAAUAAUAUAUCACUUUAAUCUAUGAGAAUCAAAAGCACAAAUAUAUAAAUAAAAUCCAUUGCUUGUUUAUUUCUCUCUGCUGAAGAGAAUGAAAGAAACAAAUACAUUCUGAGUCAAAACGGGAAAAGUGGCUGGAAGUGUGUGACCUGUGAGAACACAGCAAUCUUGAACAUAACUACAAAUCCAAGAGACGAGGAUGGAUUAACUAAUCCCUCAAAAGCAUCAGACGUCUUGAACGGUCUGAAGUCUAAAAUAGAAGAGAUGGAAAAAAGCAACACAAGCAAAGCUGCGAUUGUCUUGGGGGACGUUGUUGGUCUUCUUCAUGUACAAGACAAGAACGCAGAAACCAAAGACACAUGCUACUUUUCAGAAAAGGACAUGAUAAACGUUUUUGAUUGUCAAAGUGACCUGAAGGCUGAUUUUCACUGGUCUGUGAAGAUUUCCAGUGAAGCCUUUAAUAAAUCACGACGGGAAAACAAUGGAAGCGCUUUUGUUGGGAUUCUACCAUUUAAAAACAUGAGAAAUAAGAAUGAAACUCAAAAUUACAGUGUUUUGAACAAUGAGGUUUAUGGAGUAAUGAUGGGGGCUGAUAUAUACAACCUUACCAGCACUAUUGACAUGUCCUUUAAACAUAAUGAUAAGGUCAGUAAUGAGUCCUGCGUUUCUUGGGAUGGCAAAGGAGAACUUAAUUGGACGACAUUCGGCUGUGUGACAGAAACAAUCGACUCCAACACUAUAAAGUGCUCCUGCUCACAUCUGACGUUCUUUGCAGUGCUGAUGGUGAGAAACUUCUCAGAGAAGAAGCACUUAUGCUUUCAUAAUUCAUAUUUCAUUUAAAAAUCCCAUUAAAUCAAUAUCAGAGUCUUUUAGGCCAUGUCUAUAUGC
ensembl:lncRNA